GACGAACGCUGGCGGCGUGCUUAACACAUGCAAGUCGAACGGAAAGGCCUGCUUUCCCUUGUGGAUUGCGGGUACUCGAGUGGCGAACGGGUGAGUAACACGUGAGUGAUCUGCCCCCAACUUGGGUAUAAGCCUGGGAAACUGGGUCUAAUUCCCGAUAGGACUGCAGGGUGGUGCCUGUGGUGGAAAACGAUUUUCUAGUGGUUGGGGAUGAGCUCGCGGCCUAUCAGCUUGUUGGUGGGGUAAUGGCCUACCAAGGCGGCGACGGGUAGCCGGCCUGAGAGGGUGGACGGCCACAUUGGGACUGAGAUACGGCCCAGACUCCUACGGGAGGCAGCAGUGGGGAAUAUUGCACAAUGGGCGGAAGCCUGAUGCAGCGACGCCGCGUGGGGGAUGACGGCCUUCGGGCUGUAAACUCCUUUCGACCGCGAGGAAGCCACCUGGUUGGAAGGGUGGUGACGGUAGUGGUAGAAGAAGCACCGGCUAACUACGUG
rnacentral:rRNA from 1 species